UCUAGCUCAAAUGGGAGAGCGCUCGCUUAGCAUGCGAGAAGUACUGGGAUCGAUACCCAGGUUCUCCA
rnacentral:tRNA from 1 species